GCUCGAGUGGCGGAACUGGUAGACGCGCUGGAUUCAAAAUCCAGUAACUUCGGUUGUGCGGGUUCGAUUCCCGCCUCGAGCA
rnacentral:tRNA from 1 species